UGAAUCCACCGCCGCCCACCGUCACCCACCCCCACCGCCACCCACCGUCGCCCAUCCCCUCCGCCGACGACCCUCACCAUCGAGCCCACGCCCAGAUCCGCGCUCUCUAGUACUCGCCCGCAACCCUCACCCGUGGCUAGGGUUUCGGCCGCCACCCCUAAAUUCGUCGGGAUCUGCCACAUCCAGCGACAGCGAGGCCAGAGGUGGCCGGAUCUGGCACCGGUGGAUGGGAUGACGACGAUGGCAGGAGGGGCGAACCUCCAUGGGACGGGUCGCCACCAUGGAGAUGGAGCUCCUUCUCCCCUACCACGCAACCUCCCUCCCAGCGCCAAUAGAGCACCGGCUACCAUGACGCGACAGCGCUGUCGCAAGCCUCGCGGGGCUGUGCAUCUCGUCGUCUGCCACGCCCUACCAGGAGCUACAUCACCCACACGUCUCCUCUGAAGAAGGGGACGAUGGCUUGUGCGUCGGCGUGGUUGGCUCCAGCUCCCCGCCGACCUAUGACUCCACAUGCGUCGCCGUCUUCGACCACAGGUCCAUGUCCUCGAUCUGCUUCCUUUGCUUCCCCUAGGUUUCCGCGUAGAUCUGGCCGUUUGAUUUGAUGCGGAUGCGAAUUUGGUUCUCCAUCGCUGUAGGUUUCCUGUGCGUACUCGCGUUCGAAUUAGCAUUGAAUCCCUCAGUUUAUGCAGUUUCGUUGUGGUUGAUUGACACCCCUGUGAAGAUAAAAUUCAGGACCAACCGUUAGCUUUUUGUGAAGAAAAAGCUAUUGGUAAAAAAAUCGUAGGAAACCCCCAAAAGCCUCGCUCUGCUGUACAUUAUAUUACUUGGGUUACUGCAACCCUGCCUGCCUGCUACUGUGUUAGUCUGCAACGCAUACCAAGUUGAUUUCAGUGCAUUUUUUCCAUAAUUAGACUUAUGAAGCUCAAACUGACCAUAUCAGCACUAGUCUCACAUUUAGAUUUAAAAUGUUGACUGGAAAUGUGUGUAGUCGGUAUUUGUCUUGUAGCAUGGCCAGAUUCAGAGACUCAACUCGUUUCUUCUUUUGUUCCUACAAGACGAUUCAACUUAACUUUAAAAAGUAACAGUAAAUUUGGAUACUGCCAGACACAAGAGAAGACUGUUACAAUGAUAGUAUGUGCUACAUUUGAUCCCAGGUUGUACAACAUAUCUGUUACUGCAGGUCACCCAUCCUCGAGGAGCAGAAGGAGGGACGCUCUGCUCCUCUUCUUCCUUGACCAUCGGUACCACCAUGUUCCCGGGCUUCCAAGGUGCGCCAGCACACCGCCGCCAUGCCUCCUCUGCUCUCCGGGCUCGGACCAAUCGCUCGCCCCUUAAGGUCCGGCAGCACCGCCGCGUCGACGACGAAGGUGGUGACUGCGGCGGUGAGCGGCGCGAGUUGGUGGCUGCGGGACUCGGCGGCACGACUCUCGUCAGCGGCGACAAAGGCGGUUGUUAGGCGAGCCGAGCGUGCCUCCUCCCCGUCCCCAAAAUCGCGUCCCUUUAACGCGUUCCAUUUCGAACAGCCGGCGCAUCAGCGUUGUCGGAGCGCAUGAUAGACUACUAAAUGGACAAGUAUCUGCAACGUUCAGUGUCGAAGAUGAUGCUUACCAGAUGUUCUACUACAGCACCAUCCAUAUCAUCGACAUGAAGCUAGAUUUUGGCCUUCAUUCGUCAAAAGUUGGUGUACAAGGAAUUCCAGGAGAAGAAUCUUUAAGUAAAUAAUUUAUAUAGAUCAGGAUCUUAUGUUGUCGAGGUGGCUGCUGUUGUGACCAAAGAUCAGCCUGGAGAUGUGCAUCAUAGUUUUAGUUGAUGUUGCCACUAUGUUUUGUUGCAUGUGUAUUUGAGUGUAUGUACACUUGAUGGACCGUGUAGUCGUGUACGUGCUGUUUGAGUUUCAUUUAGUGAUUUCUGGAUUUGAUCAUUUAAUUCAGAAAAUUAUUUAUUGUUUGCUGUUGAAAUGUGUAAAAUUGAAAUCUUUGAUUGAAAAA